rnacentral:tRNA from 1 species
AAUGAGUUGGCAGAGUAUGCACCUGACUUAGGAUCAGCCCACAGAUAACAUCUACUCAUUA